UGUGUAUCUGUUGAAUGACUCCCUCGUAGUACACCAUUGAAGAGUCAUAAUUCCCCAGCAG
ensembl:miRNA gmo-mir-11229 gmo-mir-11229